CAUCAACCACCAGCUUAAUGAAAACUAGAAGAUCAGAAGUAUACAGUGUUUUGAUUUGUUGGUCAUUACAGAACUCAGUCAACUGGUAGAGAUAAAAUAGAGAAAAUAUGAAACCCAUCUACCAAAAUAAUAAUUAAAAAAAAAGGAAAAUCAGUCUGUCUUCAAUGACCCAAGAAAAGAGCCUAGCAGAUAAUAAAAUAUAUGCAGGCAGAUGAGCUGAGGUCAGGAAUUCGAUAACAGCCUGGCCAGUGUGGUGAAACCCUGUCUCUACUAAAAAUACAAAAAUUAGAAAACUGGAGUUGCUAGUGGGCAGCCCUGCAUCCUGCAUGGAAUUGGAGCUGUACAGAGUUGACGACAAGUUCUACAGCAAGCUAGAUCAAGAAGAUGCGCUGCUGGGCCCCUACCCUGUAGAUGACGGCUGCCGCAUCCAUGUCAUUGACCACACCGGCGCCCGCCUUGGUGAGUAUAAGGAUGUGUCCUUGGUGGAGAAGUACACCGUCUCACAAGAAGCCUACGACCAGAGGCAAGACACGGUCCGCUCCUUCCUGAAGCGCAGCAAGCUCGGCAGGUACAACGAGGAGGAGCGGGCACAGCAGGAGGCCGAGGCCGCCCAGCGCCUCGCUGAGGAGAAGGCCCAGGCCAGCUCCAGCCCAGUGGGCAGCCGCUGUGAGGUGCGGGCGGCGGGGGCAGUCCCCUCGCCGGGGCACCGUCAUGUAUGUAGGUCUCACAGAUUUCAAGCCUGGCUACUGGAUUGGCGUCCGCUAUGAUGAGCCACUGGGGAAAAACUGGCAGUGUGAAUGGGAAACGCUACUUCGAAUGCCAGGCCAAGUACAGCGCCUUCGUCAAGCCAGCAGUCGUGACGGUGGGGGCUUCCCAGAGGAGGACUACGGGUUGGACGAGAUGUGACACCCCAGGAAUUCCCCUGCUCCAGCUCCUAACUCGGCCACUCACUGCCCAUCCUGUGUGUGCCCAUGGCCCUCUUCUGACCCCAUUUUAAUUUUAUUCAUUUCUCCUCUGCCAUUGAUUUUUGAGACUCAUGCAUUAAAUUCACUAGAAACCUGGAAAA